GGAAGGAUCAUUAUUGAAACAUUGUAAAGGAAGUUGAGCUGGCUCUUCUAGGGCAUGUGCUCGCUUUCUUUCAAUCUUCAUCCACCUGUGCACUUUUUGUAGAGGAUCUGGAAUGAGGGGCGAAAGUCCCUUUAGUACGGGUCUUCUAUGUUUUUACACACACUUCAUGUAUGUCUAGAAUGUUAUUUAUUGGGACUUAGUUGACCCUUUAAAACUAUACAACUUUCAGCAACGGAUCUCUUGGCUCUCGCAUCGAUGAAGAACGCAGCGAAAUGCGAUAAGUAAUGUGAAUUGCAGAAUUCAGUGAAUCAUCGAAUCUUUGAACGCACCUUGCGCCUCUUGGUAUUCCGAGAGGCAUGCCUGUUUGAGUGUCAUUAAAUUCUCAACCUCAAAAGCUUUUGCUUAUUGAGUGUUUGGAUGUGAGGGUUGCUGGCUUUGAACAAGAGUCGGCUCCCUUUAAAUGCAUUAGUGGAAACCUUGUGUGGACCACAUUGGUGUGAUAAUUAUCUACGCCAUUGGCUUUUGUGUCUACAGUCGGAGUAGCUUAAUUGCUGCUACGGUUUGGAGGGUUGCAUUUUGUAAUGAACUGCUCCCUCUGUUGAAGGGUUAUCUGCUUCAAACUGUCCUAAGUUAUUGGACAAUCUUUUGAACUGUUUGACCUCAAAUCA
rnacentral:rRNA from 1 species